AUAUCACCGACUGAAGGGCGAUGCGAUGGUGAUGACAGGCUGAAUGAAAGGAAGCCCGUAAGGCUCGUUUAGCUGCAGCA
rnacentral:lncRNA from 1 species